GGCGUGAUCAGGGACAUCCGAUAAAAUUGAACCGAUACAGAGAAGAUUAGCAUGGGCCCAGCGCAAGGAUGAUACGCACAAAUCGAGAAAUGGUCCAAAUUAAA
rfam:Nicotiana attenuata strain TT chromosome 5, whole genome shotgun sequence.